GAAUGCUGACAUAAGUAACGAUAAAGCGGGUGAAAAGCCCGCUCGCCGGAAGACCAAGGGUUCCUGUCCAACGUUAAUCGGGGCAGGGUGAGUCGACCCCUAAGGCGAGGCCGAAAGGCGUAGUCGAUGGGAAACGGGUUAAUAUUCCCGUACUUGGUGUUACUGCGAAGGGGGGACGGAGAAGGCUAUGUUGGCCGGGCGACGGUUGUCCCGGUUUAAGCGUGUAGGUGUGUGUUCCAGGUAAAUCCGGUUCACUUUAACACUGAGGCGUGACGACGAGGCACUACGGUGCUGAAGCAACAAAUGCCCUGCUUCCAGGAAAAGCCUCUAAGCAUCAGGUAACAUCAAAUCGUACCCCAAACCGACACAGGUGGUCAGGUAGAGAAUACCAAGGCGCUUGAGAGAACUCGGGUGAAGGAACUAGGCAAAAUGGUGCCGUAACUUCGGGAGAAGGCACGCUGACACGUAGGUGAAGUGAUUUACUCAUGGAGCUGAAGUCAGUCGAAGAUACCAGCUGGCUGCAACUGUUUAUUAAAAACACAGCACUGUGCAAACACGAAAGUGGACGUAUACGGUGUGACGCCUGCCCGGUGCCGGAAGGUUAAUUGAUGGGGUCAGCGCAAGCGAAGCUCCUGAUCGAAGCCCCGGUAAACGGCGGCCGUAACUAUAACGGUCCUAAGGUAGCGAAAUUCCUUGUCGGGUAAGUUCCGACCUGCACGAAUGGCGUAAUGAUGGCCAGGCUGUCUCCACCCGAGACUCAGUGAAAUUGAACUCGCUGUGAAGAUGCAGUGUACCCGCGGCAAGACGGAAAGACCCCGUGAACCUUUACUAUAGCUUGACACUGAACAUUGAGCCUUGAUGUGUAGGAUAGGUGGGAGGCUUUGAAGUGUGGACGCCAGUCUGCAUGGAGCCGACCUUGAAAUACCACCCUUUAAUGUUUGAUGUUCUAACGUGGACCCGUGAUCCGGGUUGCGGACAGUGUCUGGUGGGUAGUUUGACUGGGGCGGUCUCCUCCUAAAGAGUAACGGAGGAGCACGAAGGUUGGCUAAUCCUGGUCGGACAUCAGGAGGUUAGUGCAAUGGCAUAAGCCAGCUUGACUGCGAGCGUGACGGCGCGAGCAGGUGCGAAAGCAGGUCAUAGUGAUCCGGUGGUUCUGAAUGGAAGGGCCAUCGCUCAACGGAUAAAAGGUACUCCGGGGAUAACAGGCUGAUACCGCCCAAGAGUUCAUAUCGACGGCGGUGUUUGGCACCUCGAUGUCGGCUCAUCACAUCCUGGGGCUGAAGUAGGUCCCAAGGGUAUGGCUGUUCGCCAUUUAAAGUGGUACGCGAGCUGGGUUUAGAACGUCGUGAGACAGUUCGGUCCCUAUCUGCCGUGGGCGCUGGAGAACUGAGGGGGGCUGCUCCUAGUACGAGAGGACCGGAGUGGACGCAUCACUGGUGUUCGGGUUGUCAUGCCAAUGGCACUGCCCGGUAGCUAAAUGCGGAAGAGAUAAGUGCUGAAAGCAUCUAAGCACGAAACUUGCCCCGAGAUGAGUUCUCCCUGAGACUUAGAGUCUCCUGAAGGAACGUUGAAGACGACGACGUUGAUAGGCCGGGUGUGUAAGCGCAGCGAUGCGUUGAGCUAACCGGUACUAAUGA
rnacentral:rRNA from 1 species